UCUGGCUCAGGAUGAACGCUAGCUACAGGCUUAACACAUGCAAGUCGCGGGGCAGCAUGUGUGUGCUUGCACACAAUGAUGGCGACCGGCGCACGGGUGAGUAACGCGUAUCCAACCUUCCCCUUAGUAGGGCAUAGCCCGGCGAAAGUCGGAUUAAUACCCUAUGUUCUUCGUAGAUGGCAUCUGAGACGAAGCAAAGGUUAGCGCUAAGGGAUGGGGAUGCGUCUGAUUAGGCAGUCGGCGGGGUAACGGCCCACCGAGCCUUCGAUCAGUAGGGGUUCUGAGAGGAAGGUCCCCCACAUUGGAACUGAGACACGGUCCAAACUCCUACGGGAGGCAGCAGUGAGGAAUAUUGGUCAAUGGGCGAGAGCCUGAACCAGCCAAGUAGCGUGCAGGACGACGGCCCUACGGGUUGUAAACUGCUUUUAUGCGGGGAUAAAGUGCCCUACGUGUAGGGUAUUGCAGGUACCGCAUGAAUAAGGACCGGCUAAUUCCGUGCCAGCCGCCGC
rnacentral:rRNA from 1 species